UACGGGGGGAGCAAGCGUUGUUCGGAUUUACUGGGCGUAAAGGGCGCGUAGGCGGCGCAACAAGUCACUUGUGAAAUCUCCGGGCUUAACCCGGAGCGGCCAAGUGAUACUGUCGUGCUAGAGUGCGGAAGGGGCUACUGGAAUUCUCGGUGUAGCGGUGAAAUGCGUAGAUAUCGAGAGGAACACCUGCGGCGAAGGCGGGUAGCUGGGCCGACACUGACGCUGAGGCGCGAAAGCCAGGGAAGCGAACGGG
rnacentral:rRNA from 1 species